rnacentral:rRNA from 1 species
UACGGGGGGAGCAAGCGUUGUUCGGAUUUACUGGGCGUAAAGGGCGCGUAGGCGGUCAGCACAAGUCAGUUGUGAAAUCUCCGGGCUUAACUCGGAAAGGUCAACUGAUACUGUGCGACUAGAGUGCGGAAGGGGCAACUGGAAUUCUCGGUGUAGCGGUGAAAUGCGUAGAUAUCGAGAGGAACACCGGUGGCGAAGGCGGCAUCCUGGACCGGCAUUGACGCUGAGGAGCGAAAGCCAGGGGAGCAAACGGG